rnacentral:rRNA from 1 species
CCCAGACUCCUACGGGAGGCAGCAGUGGGGGAUAUUGCACAAUGGGGGAAACCCUGAUGCAGCGACGCCGCGUGGGUGAAGAAGUAUUUCGGUAUGUAAAGCCCUAUCAGCAGGGAAGAAAGAAGACGGUACCUGACUAAGAAGCCCCGGCUAACUACGUGCCAGCAGCCGCGGUAAUACGUAGGGGGCGAGCGUUAUCCGGAUUCACUGGGUGUAAAGGGAGCGUAGACGGCCGUGCAAGCCAGGAGUGAAAGCCCGGGGCCCAACCCCGGGACUGCUCUUGGAACUGUGCGGCUGGAGUGCGGGAGGGGCAGGCGGAAUUCCUGGUGUAGCGGUGAAAUGCGUAGAUAUCAGGAGGAACACCGGCGGCGAAGGCGGCCUGCUGGACCGCGACUGACGUUGAGGCUCGAAAGCGUGGGGAGCGAACAGGAUUAGAUACCCCUGUAC